rfam:Ciona intestinalis ciona0027, whole genome shotgun sequence.
ACGUGUGUCAUUUUUCUAUUAUGCAACUUUUUUUUCAUGUUAGUUGCAUAGUAACAAAAGUGAUCAUACGU